GUUUCGGCACCCGCGGGAAGUUUGAAUUCGCAGAAGAAGACGACUGUUUAAUUCAACGCAUUCUCAGCGCAUCUGUCAAAGAGACCACUGUUUCUACACUGCUGUCAUGUUUUCCUGGCACCAUGCAGAUCCUCAGUCAGAUACAGGAAGUACAUAUACGCCACCUCUGCCUCUGCUGGCCUCACCUGCGACCCCCUGGACCUGUGAAGACUGGUGGCAGGGUGUUUGUACUGGAGCACAAACACAGAGCCCAUUGACAACUUCCUUAAUAAACACCGUGGGAAGAAGGACAUCCUCAGGAGCAUGCAGCAAUGGUCCACAAUUCCUCUACUGAUCCAAACAGCAUGCUCCAUUCGACCACAAAACUGCACAUUUCACUGUAUGUCAAGCACCUGGCCAAACUGCAGAACACCAGUUCUUCAUUAAACAACUCCAGAGAAACGUCUUGAAAGCGGGCAGUAAAACAACCAGUGUGCCAGUGGUAACAAUGAAGCCUGCGGAUGUAAACCCACCAGCACCUGCUCUGACCACACUCCUAACUCAUGAGACCAUUGAGACAAUUGUGUUAUGGAGUGGCAGCAGCACCCUGAGCAGGAGAAGACUUGUCUUGCUUGUGGACAGCCAAAGAUGGUUCCUCUAACCACUUUUUUCUUAAUCAGCAAGGCCCUGUCAGGUACUUCUACUGUUCCACAAAGGUUUUUAAUGCUUACAGUGAUUAAGAACUAACACACCCCAGAGUUAUUCACGAGUUCACACUUACAUAUAAUAAACUGAGUAAAGGUUUAUGCGUAUUUAGCGUGCUGUCCAGGGAGAGGGCUCCGAGCUCGGUACUUACCCCCGAGCCCAGGGUACUCCCCCUGUACGGGGAGAGGGGUCCGAGCUCUGCCUUUAGCCCGGACCCAGAGCGUUCCCCCCCAUGCUGGGGUAGGAACAGGCUGAAGGUGAGGAGUCGGGGUGGUGGAGGGAUGCUGAAAGACUAGAACUGAUGGAGGUAAGACUGCUUUGAUUAUUUAUAGGGGUUCUCUCUUGAGCUGAUUGGAUAGAUGGUGUGAUUGCUGAUGAUGAAGUGGCUGCGUUAAUUAUCUGCGCGUGCUCCUCCCGAAACUUGUUAAUAAAACAUCACUUCACGAGUUCACACUUACAUAUAAUAAACUGAGUAAAGGUUUAUGCGUAUUUGGCGUGCUGUCCAGGGAGAGGGCUCCGAGCUCGGUACUUACCCCCGAGCCCAGGGUACUCCCCCUGUACGGGGAGAGGGGUCCGAGCUCUGCCUUUAGCCCGGACCCAGAGCGUUCCCCCCAAGAUGCAAUAAGCACAGGACAGCAGCCAAAGAGGUGUGUUGAUACCCCCCAAAAUCGGCAGAGCUUAAUGUUGGUGGGGUGCUGGACGUCGCUUGGAGUAACGGCACUGCUGUGGCCUUUAGAGAAGAGAGUUUAGCUACUGCGGGAGCGGACACUGCUGCGGCAUCUGAAAAACAAAGGAAAGUGGCUUCUACGGAAGCGGGCACUGCUGCAACAUCUGAAAAGAGAAUCUAGCUUCUGCAGAAGCGGGCACUGCUGCAACAUCUGAAAAGAGAAAGUGGCUUCUAUUGAGAUGGGCACUGCUACGGCGUCUGAAAGAGAAUGUGGCUUCUGCGGAAGCGGGCACUGCUGCAAUAUCUGAAAAGAGAAUGUGGCUUCUGCGGAAGCGGGCACUGCUGCAACAUCUGAAAAGAGAAUGUGGCUUCUAUUGAGACGGGCACUGCUACGGCGUCUGAAAGAGAAUGUGGCUUCUGCGGAAGCGGGCACUGCUGCAAUAUCUGAAAAGAGAAUGUGGCUUCUGCGGAAGCGGGCACUGCUGCAACAUCUGAAAAGAGAAAGUGGCUUCUGCGGAAGCGGGCACUGCUGCAACAUCUGAAAAGAGAAUGUGGCUUCUGCGGAAGCGGGCACUGCUGCGGCAGUAGGGAUACAGGCUCCUGUGGGAGCAGGCACUGCUGCGGCCGUGGGAAAAUAGAGAUGAGUGGGCGGUAGAGAUACAGGCUCCUGCGGGAGUGAGAACUUCUGUGGAAUCUGAACAGAGAAUGUGGCUUCUGCGGAAGCGGGCACUGCAGCGGCAGUAUGAAAUGAGCAGGGCACUGUUACGGCCUCUGGAAAGAGAAGGAGGCUUCUGAGGGAGCAGUCACUGCUGCGGCAGCGGAGGAAUAUAGAAAAGGCUUCUGCGGGAGCAAUCACUGCUACGGCAUCUGAAAAGAGAAGGAGGCUUCUGAGGGAGCGUGCUCUGCUACGGCAGUAGGGAAAUACAGAUGCGAGCUCCUGCGGGAGCAGUUACUGCUACAGUACCUGAAAAGAGAAGGAGGCUUCUGUGGAAGCGGUCACUGCUACGGCAUCUGAAAAGAGAAGGAGGCUUCUGAGGAAGCGUGCUCUGCUACGGCAGUAGGGAAAUGCAGGUGCAAGCUCCUGCGGGAGCAGUUACUGCUAUGGUACCUGAAAAGAGAAGGAGGCUUCUGAGGAAGUGGUCACUGCUACGGCAUCUGAAAAGAGGAGGCUUCUGUGGAAAUGGUCACGGCUACGGUAUCUGAAAAGAGAAGGCUUCUGUGGGAGCAGACACUGCUGCGGCAGUGGAGGAAUAUAGAAAAGGCUCCUGCGGGAGCGAUCACUGCUACGGCAUCUGAAAAGAGAAGGAGGCUUCUGAGGAAGCGGGCACUGCUAUGGCAUCUGGAAAGAGAAGGAGGCUUCUGAGGAAGCGGUCGCUGCUACGGCAUCUGAAAAGAGAAGGCUUCUGUGGGAGCAGUCACUACUGUGGCAGUGGGUAAAAACAGAUAGGGCUCCAGCGGGAGCAGACACUGCUAUGGCAUCUGAAAAGAGAAGGAGGCUACUGAGGAAGCGUGCUCUGCUACGGCAGUAGGGAAAUGCAGAUGCAAGCUCCUGCGGGAGCAGUUACUGCUACGGUACCUGAAAAGAGGAGGCGGCUUCCGUGGAAAUGGUCACUACUGCGGGAGCCGUCACUGCUGAGGCAGUGGGUAAACUCAGAUAGGGCUCCAGUAAGAGCAGACACUGCUGCGGCAGUGGAGAAAUAUCCGAAAGGCUCCUGCGGGAGCAAUCACUGCUAUGGCAUCUGAAAAGAGAAGUAGGCUUCUGAGGAAGCGGUCGCUGCUACGGCGUCUGAAAAGAGAAGGAGGUUUCUGCGGAAGCAGGAAAUACAGAUGCAAGCUCCUGCGGGAGCAGUUACUGCUACGGUACCUGAAGAGAGAAGGCUUCUGCGGAAUCGAGUACUGCUGCGGCAGUGGAGAAAAAUCAGAUAAGUCUCUUGCGGGAGCGGGGUGUUGCUGGGAUGGUUGAAGUGGAGAUGAGCCGCUAUGAGUGGAUUUGGUGGUGUUGAUGGCUAUGGCGGGUCCGAGGGUCGAGUGAACAGGGAUGGACUGGUGUUGAAGGGGUCUGCUGAUGAGGGUUCGGUGAGCUUCUUUGAUAUGGAUGGGUCUUCACCGCUUGCGGAGACAGCCUCACUCUAGCAUCUGCUAUGGAAGCUGGAGGUCAUUGCUUCGGCUGCUGUGGCUCAUUCAUGGGAAGAGAGUGGAGUUUGUUACAUCCUGAUGAGCCUGUGGUUUGUACCACUAGCGGAGGCAGCCUCACGCUAGCGUCUGCUAUAGGAGCUGGAGGCAACUGAAAAGGAAAGGGGUUAGGAGUAAAGCCGCGGUCACACUAGACUUUGAUCAUGCGAAAUUGUUUCGCAUGCUGCAACGGUCGUGAUAUGACGUCACGCUGUGCAGCGUCUUUUCUUUAAAAACCUAAAUUCAACAUGUAACAAAUUGUAAUACAUCUAAGAUGUAAAAACAUGCAAUCUACUCCACUUUCCUGCAGCGCUGCAGUUUUAAAUUCAUGUUCUUUCUGAAUUAAAAGGAGGUCAUGCUGUUAUGUAUCAAUCUGCCGUCUCACGGUGUCACGUGAUGCGAUUUUGCAGGGCAGAGUUCACCAUGCUUGAACUUUGGAACGCAGCGAAAUGCGAAAACUUUUCGCACGGGCUUGCGUUCCGGUCUGACGCAUUCGUGUGGAUGGAAGUCAAUGGAGCGAAAAGAGCAGUGUGACCGCCCCUUAACAGGAGGAAGAGACAAAAAGACAUGUGAGGGCCUGUGUUGCAAGCGGAGACAGCUUUGCGCUUGCUUCAGCUGCUGUAGCUGCGUGACACAGGGGUUUGUGGCAUUCGGAGAGAAAAGCUGUAAAGCCUGUGCAGCCUGCACUGCUAGCAGAGGCGACCUCGCGUUAGUACCUGCUACAGGAUCUGGAGGCUGCUGAAAAGGAAAGGGUUAGGGGAAGUAGAAGGAAAGUUUGAGAUGGGUCUGCAAGCGAAGGCAGCCACAUGCUUGCUUCUGCAGCUGUCAGCUACGGAAAAAGGGGGAGUGGUUUGUAAAUUUGGCGGGACAUGCUGAAAUGUCCGGGUAGUCUGCAGCAUUGCCAACUUAGCAAUUGUGUUGCUGGAUUUAACAAUUUCUCAGACUACCCUAGCAACUUGUUUUCAAAGCAACUAGCAACAAAUGUAGCCAUUUUAAGAAUUAUUUGGAACCCUUAAAAGUGAUAAAAAUGGUAAAAGGCAUGCGUUUUCCUCUUAACCCCACAAAAGGAAAACAUAUUGAAACAGCUAGCCAGCUAAGCGGCACAUCAGCUGGUAAUGUUAGACACUGAGGGAGGUGCCUAGCAUAUGCACUUCAUAUGAAUUGAGUUGCAGGUUGCACUUGUUCAAUGAUUGUUUAUUUAUGGUACGCCUUAAUUUUUUUAUUUGUACUUAUGAUUGUUCAUUACUGUUGGUCCACUGAGAUUAAUUUUGUUUUCUGGUUAAGAUCAACAGUGGAAGAGAGGUUUCACUGUUGAUUAUCUGACUUAUCCAUUUAUCAAAAUGGAAUGAGUGAAUUAAGUACGGGUAAAAUGCUGGUGAAAAUAAGAGCAAAUUCAGUGUGUAUUCUAAGCACUUGCGUCAUGAUUACGUAAUGACAUUAACAUCCGAUGAUGUCGCGACGUCAUUUAACAACGAAACAACAAAUGACAUAUCCUUUAGCGAUUUUUACCUUGAACAUUGU